ACGAACGCUGGCGGCGUGGAUAAGACAUGCAAGUCGAACGAAGUAUCACUUGUAGCAGUACGAGUGGUGCUUAGUGGCGUAAGGGUGCGUAACACGUGAGUAAUCUACCGAUAAGUGCGGAAUAGCUCGCCGAAAGGCGAAUUAAUGCCGCAUGUGGCUCGGGUGGGUAUCCAUCAAGGCCAAAGCCGGGGCAACCUGGCGCUUUUCGAUGAACUCGCGGCCUAUCAGCUAGUUGGUGAGGUAAAAGCUCACCAAGGCUAUGACGGGUAGCUGGUCUGAGAGGACGACCAGCCACACUGGAACUGAGACACGGUCCAGACACCUACGGGUGGCAGCAGUCGAGAAUUUUUCUCAAUGGGGGAAACCCUGAAGGAGCGACGCCGCGUGGAGGAUGAAGGUCUUCGGAUUGUAAACUCCUGUCAUUGGCGAACAAGAUCUGCGGUUAACUGCCGUCAGAUUUGCUGGUAGCCAAAGAGGAAGAGACGGCUAACUCUGUGCCAGCAGCCGCGGUAAUACAGAGGUCUCAAGCGUUGUUCGGAUUCAUUGGGCGUAAAGGGUGCGUAGGCGGCAGGGUAAGUUAGAUGUGAAAUCCCAGAGCUUAACUCUGGAAUUGCAUUUGAUACUGCCUUGCUCGAGCGCUAGAGAGGGGGCUGGAAUUUACGGUGUAGCAGUGAAAUGCGUAGAUAUCGUAAGGAAGACCAGUGGCGAAAGCGAGCCCCUAGAUAGCUGCUGACGCUGAGGCACGAAAGCCAGGGGAGCAAACGGGAUUAGAUACCCCGGUAGUCCUGGCAGUAAACGGUGCGCGUUUGGUGUGAAAGGGUUCGACCCCUUUCGUGCCGGAGCUAACGCGUUAAACGCGCCGCCUGGGGAGUACGGUCGCAAGAUUAAAACUCAAAGAAAUUGACGGGGGCCCGCACAAGCGGUGGAGUAUGUGGCUUAAUUCGAUGCAACGCGAAGAACCUUACCUGGGUUUGACAUGCAUCUCUAAGGAGGUGAAAGCCUUCGAGGGUAGCAAUACCCAAUUUGCACAGGUGCUGCAUGGCUGUCGUCAGCUCGUGUCGUGAGAUGUUGGGUUAAGUCCCGCAACGAGCGCAACCCCUGUAUGCUGUUGCCAGGCUAAUCGCCGGCUCUCUGCAUAGACUGCCCCGUGAAACGGGGAGGAAGGUGGGGAUGACGUCAAGUCAGCAUGGCCCUUACACCCAGGGCUGCACACGUACUACAAUGCCCAGCACAGAAUGAGCCUUCUUCGCAAGAAGCGGGAAAUCAAAGAAAGCUGGGCCCAGUUCAGAUUGCAGGCUGCAACUCGCCUGCAUGAAGCCGGAAUCGCUAGUAAUGGCGCAUCAGCUACGGCGCCGUGAAUACGUUCCCGGGCCUUGUACACACCGCCCGUCACAUCAUGGAAGUCGCCUGUUCCCGAAGUGCCUAAAGUUCUAAGGAAUGGGUGGCAACUGGGAUGAAGUCGUAACAAGGUAA
rnacentral:rRNA from 1 species